GCCGGAAUGGUGAAAUUGGUAGACACAAGGGACUUAAAAUCCCUCGGAUGAAUAAUCCGUGCCGGUUCGACCCCGGUUUCCGGCA
rnacentral:tRNA from 1 species